rnacentral:rRNA from 1 species
AAUGGGCGAAAGCCUGAUGAUGCAAUGCCGCGUGGAGGAUGAAGGCCCUAGGGUCGUAAACUCCUGUCAUUAGGGAACAAAAAUAGGUUAAUAGCCUAUUCUGAGUUAACCUAAAGAGGAAGAGGUGGCUAACUCCGUGCCAGCAGCCGCGGUAAUACGGAGACCUCGAGCGUUACUCGGAUUUACUGGGCGUAAAGGGUGAGCAGACGGCCAAGUGUGUCAGGUGUGAAAUCCCGGGGCUUAACCCCGGAACUGCGCCUGAAACUACUUGGCUAGAGUCUCGGAGAGGACAGUGGAAUUCUAGGUGUAGCGGUGAAAUGCGUAGAUAUCUAGAGGAACACCAGUGGCGAAGGCGACUGUCUGGACGAGUACUGACGCUCAAUCACGAAAGCGUGGGUAGCGAAAGGGAUU